AACCAUUCUCACCUGCGGCUAGACCUGCGGAGGGAUCAUUACCGAGUUUACAACUCCCAAACCCCUGUGAACAUACCUAUACGUUGCCUCGGCGGAUCAGCCCGCGCCCCGUAAAACGGGACGGCCCGCCCGAGGACCCCUAAACUCUGUUUUUAGUGGAACUUCUGAGUAAAACAAACAAAUAAAUCAAAACUUUUAGCAACGGAUCU
rnacentral:misc_RNA from 1 species